GCUUAGAAGCAGCCACUCAUUAAAAGAGUGCGUAAUAGCUCACUGGUCGAGUGACCCUGCGCCGAAAAUUCAACGGGGCUAAACAAUGUACCGAAGCUUGGGAUUCUAAAGUAAUUUAGAGUGGUAGGAGAGCGUCGAAUAAGGGGUGAAGUCAGAGCGGAAGCGCUGGUGGACUUUAUUCGAGUGAGAAUGCCGGAAUGAGUAGCGAGAAUUAUGUGAGAAUCAUAAUGGCCGAAAAUCUAAGGUUUCCUGAGGAAGGUUCGUCCGCUCAGGGUAAGCCGGGAGCUAAGGCGAGGCGGAGACGCGUAGCCGAUGCACAUACGGUUGAAAUUCCGUAGCCACCGAAAGAUUUAAGUACAGGGACGCUUUAGAAGUGAUGUUGCCGGGCGAUGGUUGACCCGGUCGUAAGGGAUCGAAAAUGAGUAGAGAAGUCAUCAUGGAAAGAGACAAGAAAAGCUGUAUGAAUAUCUUAGGUGCCCGUACCGCAAACCGACACAGGUAGAUAGGAAGAAGAUUCUAAGGCCAACGGGAGAAGGGUUGUUAAGGAACUCGGCAAGUUGACCCCGUAACUUAGGGAUAAGGGGUGCUCAAGUGAUUGAGCCGCAGAGAAUAGGCCCAGGCGACUGUUUAGCAAAAACACAGGUCUCUGCUAAAUCGAAAGAUGACGUAUAGGGGCUGACACCUGCCCGGUGCCGGAAGGUUAAGAGGAGAUGUGAGAGCAUUGAAUUGAAGCCCCGGUAAACGGCGGCCGUAACUAUAACGGUCCUAAGGUAGCGAAAUUCCUUGUCAGGUAAGUUCUGACCCGCACGAAAGGUGUAACGAUCUGGGCACUGUCUCAACAACCCGCCCGGCGAAAUUGUAGUACCGGUGAAGAUGCCGGUUACCCGCGACUAGACGGAAAGACCCCAUGGAGCUUUACUGUAGCCUAAUAUUGGAUUUCGGUAUUUCACGUACAGGAUAGGUGGGAGACUGGGAAGCACAGGCGUCAGCUUGUGUGGAGUCGACCUUGGGAUACCACUCUUGGAGUGCUGGAAUUCUAACCUGCGGCUUUGAAGCAAGUCGGGGGACAUUGUUAGGUGGGCAGUUUGACUGGGGCGGUCGCCUCCUAAAGAGUAACGGAGGCGCUCAAAGGUUCGCUCUGCAUGGAUGGAAACC
rnacentral:rRNA from 1 species